rnacentral:rRNA from 1 species
GAAAAGAACUUUGAAGAGAGAGUUCAAGAGUACGUGAAACUGAAGUGGUGUAAACGGACGAGUUCGAAAAGUCCGAAUGGUGAGAUUCAAGCCUACCGCGCCGGUGGCCCUCGGGUUCAGAUGGCGUCGUCAGCUCGGGCUUCGGCUCGGGUCAUACGGCGUCACUCGUCCUGGGGGUAUCUGUCUGGUGCGGUGGGCUGCACUUCUCGCCUAGUAGGACGUCGCGACCCGUUGGGAUCGUUCCGUUCAUUGGCCCUCGGUGGAGCCCGUGCCGGAGCGUGGCCUCGUGCCGCGUUGCCGUUCGCACGGACCCGGGGUGACCUGAUCGGCGCCCGACGGUAUCAAAGCUUGGGAAAGAGGCCGCACAGAGGAUGCGUCCGAUGCCCGUUUCGGGCUACACUCGGACAGGCCUGCACCCGGUCAGCGGCGCUUCUGCUUUCGAUACUCGUCCGACCCGUCUUGAAAC